UGCCUUGCACGCGGUGAGAUUAUUAAUUUCAUUUUUUAAGAUAAGAAGACAUUAGUUCUGUUUAAUAUGGAUAUCAGUUUGGUUUUACGAUAUUUUAUUGGUUUUUAGUCUCCUAAAAUAUAAGUAUCAUUUUAAAUCCAUUUUUUUUUUUGUUCAGUAUAAAUGGGUGAAGUUUUCGUUUUUUUUUUUGUGAUAAAACCAAAAAUAUUAUUAUUUGUUUGGUUUCACGUUAUACUAUAUACAAUAGUGUCAACACACAAUAUCUUCCACAUCAAAAAUGAAAAGCAAACGAACAUAGCUACAUUUAGAUGAUUCAUCUGGAUGCAUAGACGAAAUGAAGAAACUAACAACACCCAGAUGAAGCAUCUGGAUAAGAUAUCUAGAUAAAUCAUCUUGAUGUAGUUCCUAGAUAUACAAACGAAGAUAUACAAACGAACAUGGCCUUUUUGUGUCGUUUUACCUUCGCUCGAGCUUCUUCUCUUUAAGAUUUUAGGUUUCGAUCUACACAUGUGUUGAGUUUUGUUAUUUGUUGGUUAUGUCGUUUUUUAAGAUUUGUGGUGCUUUUUUCCUACGUGGGAUUGGUCUGUUCUCACUCUAGUUUCUGAGACUAAUUAAUAUCUAUCUAUCUAUAAUAAUAAAACAGACUUCUCUCUCACCUCAGCCCUCCACCUCAUCAUUUAGAAUGGGGCAAAUUACUCCACGUGACAUCUUCUCAUUCUGCUGCUUUUUUCUCAUCCAACCGAAAACUUAUGGGCUUAUUGAUUUGUUGACAUUUAGAGCAAGGCAUGGUCUUUGUAUGGACUCCAGAGCUAUCAUUUUGUUCAGGCCCAAUAUUAUUAAGGUAUGAAUCUAGAAAGCAAGUUCAGUCGUCGUUUCCCUUCUCUUCAGACGAUUCCGCCUAUAAAAAAAUUUCAGUAAAGGCGUGAGUUCCCAUUUAUAUGCUCCUUAACUCUGCAUUUAUGGCAAUUAAUCGACCUCUCCAUCUUCCAAAGUAACCAGUGGAAAUUCUCUUAUAAAUCUGCAAACUCCCUGCGAUGAACAGCACUGCGAAAUCGAGAAGAACGAUCUUCAACAAUAGUGUAUUGAUUCAUCAUGCUUGCCGGGCUCAAGCUGGCUUCUGUUCAAACCCAGCUGAUGUCUGUUCGUUGAAAUUCGUGGAGGCUCAGAAUGUAAAGAAUCUCAGAUCCAUGGCUAACAAGACAUCAAUAUCAACGACGACGGAACCCUCUGUUCUUCUUCCACGACGUUCCUCCUGGGGUGGGAACGGCGAAGAUCAUCUCCAAACUCAACCUUUUAUCGGAACCUCUCCGCAUUGAUAUACAGCUGUUAUUCAUCGACAAAAAAGGCACUCUGAUUACAAGGCUUCAUCUCCCCUUAUCGUACUGCUAUUGACGCCAAAUAUGAAAAGUUCUAUUUGGGAGUGAUAAGUGAGAGAUUCCUGUGAGAUUGUGUUUAUAUCAUCUAUUAAAACCACAACAAACAAAUAUAUUUGUGUAUACUCUUUUUUAUCUCAACUAUUUCCAGCAGUGUUAUAUAUUUUUUAAACUUCCUCUCGAAUUCUAACUUGGUGUCUUGUAAUGCACAGCACUAUAAGUUUGUCAAUAGAACUAGAAGUAGAACCAACUCCAGAAGAUAUAGAAAUAGACUAAGGAGAGGAAGAAACUGCAGAAAUUAACUUUAGGUACAUUGUGUCUUCUUCUUUCUAUUUGUUUUUAUUUUAGUAUUGUAGCUAAUGGCCUUGAAGAACAAUGAUAUUACUUCUUUGGAGGUAAACUAUAUAUGCAAUUUUGGUAUUCAUUUUAUAUGUAACUCCCAAUCAUUACCAUGUACAAUAACUCUAGGUUGAUGUCCUUCACGUCAGGUUAAAUAUCUUAAAUGGUCCUAGACUGAAGAGCCUAAAGGAUUCAAGCUUGAGCUUUUUGUAACUCGAAUGCCUAUUUUAAUAUUAUCUAAUUAAGGUUGACCAUGAGCUCGCACCACUUUGACAAGAGCACAUAUUGUUUCUUUAUUUUCUUUAUAUUUGGUAUAAAAUUACGAGACUAAAAUCUGAAACAUAGUCUGCUAGCAAUGACUAGCAUGUUUGAUAGGGUCAGCAGUUUUGACUCGGAUGUUUUUUUUCUUAAACAGGGAUCUACGGCAGAAAAUCAUUCCAAACAGAAGCUGAUUUCACAAAAAAGAUUCUUCAGGUUGCAGAGUAUUAGGGCCCAUCAGUGUUAAAAAAAAAACAUGACAAAACAAGUUUAGCGAGAUCAAUGCUGGAGGAGGACCAACCACCAUUACUUUGUUUGAAAUAACUGUUAGUGUUCAUCCCAUGCCAAUAGGAAUAUUCUGGUUCCGCAGUCACCAACAAGGCAGAAAAUAAGGCCUUAGCAAAUACAAAACCAAAACUUGUAGGAGUUAGUAUCUGUUUAGCUAUAUUUUGGCUGUUAACCAGAUGUGUCGUAAAGAAUAUCUAACUUCUACUGCUGCCUGUCUACUUUUGGUAUAUUUCUCAUAUGAUCUCCAAUUUAUGUGCCCACCUUUUGCAGCUCUCUUAUUUUUAAAUGCAUCACUUACAAAAUAUACCUUUCCGCAAAAAAGCUAAGAUUCACUAUGUCAAAGACAACUAAGAACAUUUCUAUUAAAACAACAUGACUUUUUAAGAGUCUAUCUCCAAACAGCCGCAGAAGAUUUAUAUAUCAUCGUAGUUUACCCUCUGAAUUUAUCUAUACCGCAUUAACAAAGUUUUUUUUUUGCAUUAGCAAGUUAUGCAUGAGUGAAAUAGCAUUAGAAAAAAUAUACUUGGACAAAUUAGGAAGGACACAAAGAAAAUGGACAUGAUAUUUAUGUUGGAAAGACAUCAAUAAAGUCAAUGCACUAAGCACAUGUAAAAAACUCAAGUGUUACUUAACAACACUCACGACAACAAAUGCCACGGUAAUAUAUCUCCCCAACAACAUAAAAAAAUGUGACCAAUCUUACUAUAACAAGCAAAUAAAAUAAAUUAUAUAUUCCAUAUAAAACCCAUUCUAGAAAAUUUUAUAUUUUAUGCUCCAACUAUUAGCCAUUCAGUUUGCGUAUUCAAACAGUAUAAACAUUAUUCGGCUGCUUUGAAAUAUUUUAGUCACCUUGCGUUUCUACAUAAAAUAGCAAAUCCCUCAUUAACAAAAUAGACAUCCAAUUGCUAUGACAUUUUUUUCAAUCGGAAUCAUUAAGAGAUUUUAUAAUUUAGUAAGGUAAAAAGUAUUUCUUACCAUUGUAAUAUAAAAACCUCUGAAUAUUCAAUCAAUAUACAUUUUUUAAUUUACCAAACGUCCACCUGCAAACUCACAUAAAAUCAAUAAUUAUAUUCUUCUUACAAAUUUUUUAGAAGAAAAUUUUCUUACAAAUGUCAGAUAUUCUUCUACACACUUAACAAAUAUUCAUAGUCGGAUCUGUGUUGACCGCGGGACCAUUGAUACUACUUGUGAAGACUUUUUUGUGUGUUUUUUUUUUGUUGUCGAUUUUUUGUCAAGUUAAAAUUAAUUUAUUUUUUUUCUUUUGUUUUGUUGGUUUCAUUUGGUUGUUAAAGCAAGCUUAGUAGUUUUUUGGUGAGGGAGUAUUCUCCAUCGAAAUAUUUUCGACAUAUUUGUGGAACUUCCAUAGGAUUUGACAUAUUUUGUUUAGUAAAACCAUAAUAUUUAUUGUAAAUUCAUUUAAGAAAAUAACUUAUGAACCCGGCGCGUAGCGCCGGAAUACCACUAGUAAUAUAUAUUUUUGUAUUGUUUCUUCAAUCCAUAGUUAUCCUCGGUUCCAAUGGGUCCCUUUUACCCAUCGCCAUCGCUUCACAAUCUCAUCAUGGUCUGUCCGUGGGAAAACGGCUUAUUUACGUCCGAACUAGGGAUCGAUGAGAAAAUCCAUACCCCAACUUUUAUUGCAUGUUAAAACAUACAUUCACUAAACAAAAAUUUGAAAUUCAUGUUUGAACUAGAUCGAUCAAAAAAAUACAUAUCCCAACUCUUAUUGCAUGCCAAAAUAUACCUUAACUAAUCAAAAAUUUGAAAUUUAUGUCUAGUCUUUAGAAGUCAACACUAAUCCCAAUCUAUACUAUUAUUUUCAAAGUAAUUUUUCGCAACGGAGCUCUCACGUUAAAAAUUAGAGUGGCUAAACAAUACAAGAAAACGUGCCCAUAACAACAAAAAUUUAAGACGAAAAUAUUUCAUCGUAAAUUUACAUG